rnacentral:rRNA from 1 species
CAUUAUUGAAAUAAACCUGAYGGGUUGCUGCUGGCUCUCCAGGGAGCAAUGUGCACACCUUGUCAUCUUUAUAUCUCCACCUGUGCACUUUUUGUAGACCUUUUCAGGUCUAUGUUGCUUCAUUUUACCCCAAUUGUAUGUCAAUAGAAUGUUGUGCCUUUAUAAUAUAUACAACUUUCAGCAACGGAUCUCUUGGCUCUCGCAUCGAUGAAGAACGCAGCGAAAUGCGAUAAGUAAUGUGAAUUGCAGAAUUCAGUGAAUCAUCGAAUCUUUGAACGCACCUUGCGCUCCUUGGUAUUCCGAGGAGCAUGCCUGUUUGAGUGUCAUUAAUAUAAUCUCAACCCCUUCUCUUGUUGAAGGGUUUGGAUGUGGGGGUUUGCUGGCCUUCUCAAAAGGUUCAGCUCCUCUGAAAUGCAUUAGCAGAACAACCUUGCUCAUUGGUGUGAUAACUAUCUACGCUUAUGAAUGUGAAGGGCAGUUCAGCUUUCUAGCCGUCUUUGGACAAUUCAUCAUUAAUGUGACCUCAAAUCAGGUAGGACUACCCGCUGAACUUAAGCAUAUCAAUA